UCAAGCUGUAAAGGGCGCAAGGGGAAUGCCUUGGCACUGAGAGCCGACGAAGGACGCGACAAGCUGCGAUAAGCUACGGGGAGCCGCAAAUGGGCUUUGAUCCGUGGAUUUCCGAAUGGGGAAACCCGGCAGAGCAAUACUCUGUCAACAUGUACUGAAUACAUAGGUACAUGUGGGGAACCGCCUGAACUGAAACAUCUAAGUAGGGCGAGGAAGAGAAAUCAACCGAGAUUCCGCUAGUAGUGGCGAGCGAACGCGGAAGAGGCCAAACCGGAGGUAGCAAUAUUUCCGGGGUUAGGACUGCAAUAUGUAACUUUAAUCUUUAACUGAAUGCUUUGGGAAGAGCAGCGAUACAGGGUGACAGCCCCGUAAGUGAAAAGGAUUGAGUGCUAGCAGUAUCCAGAGUACCAGCGGACACGUGAAACCCGCUGGGAAGAUGGGGGGACCAUCCUCCAAGCCUAAAUACUACUCAGUGACCGAUAGUGGAGCAGUACCGUGAGGGAAAGGUGAAAAGUACCCCGGGAGGGGAGUGAAAAAGAACCUGAAACCUUGUGCCUACAAGCACCGAGAGCACGUUAAAGUGUGAUCGGGUACUUUUUGUAGAACGGUCCGGCGAGUUAAUAUUUGCAGCGAGGUUAAGGAACUGGAGUUCCGGAGCCGCAGCGAGAGCGAGUCUGAAAAGGGCGUAUGAAGUUGCAGGUAUUAGACCCGAAACCGGGUGACCUAUCCAUGAGCAGGCUGAAGCGGUGGUAAGACACCGUGGAGGGCCGCACCCACGUCUGUUGAAAAAGCCGGGGAUGACUUGUGGAUAGCGGAGAAAUUCCAAUCGAACUCGGAGAUAGCUGGUUCUCCCCGAAAUAGCUUUAGGGCUAGCGUUAUUUUAGAUUACCGGAGGUAAAGCACUGAAUGGUCUAGGGGCCGCGAGGUUACCAAAGCCUAUCAAACUCUGAAUGCCGGAUAAUUGAUGAAUAGCAGUCAGACUGUGUGAGAUAAGUCUCAUAGUCAAAAGGGAAACAGCCCAGAUCUACAGCUAAGGUCCCAAAUGAACACUAAGUGGAAAAUGAUGUGAAACUGCGAAGACAACCAGGAUGUUGGCUUAGAAGCAGCCACUCAUUCAAAGAGUGCGUAAUAGCUCACUGGUCGAGUGGUUUUGCGCAGAAAAUGUAACGGGGCUAAGUGUUCAACCGAAGCUUAGGCAUUGCAGUAAUGCAUUGGGUAGGGGAGCGUCGUAUGCGGGGCGAAGUCAGAGCGGAAGCACUGGUGGACUGCAUACGAGUGAGAAUGCCGGAAUAAGUAGCGAGAAUUAUGUGAGAAUCAUAAUGGCCGAAAAUCUAAGGUUUCUUGGGGAAGGUUCGUCCGCCCAAGGUUAGUCGGGAGCUAAGCUCAGGCCGAAAGGCGUAGGCGAUGCACAUACGGUAGAAAUUCCGUAACCACCGAACAUUUAAGCUAGAGGGACGCUUUCUUUAAGGUUAUCCCGGGCGAUGGUUGCCCCGGGCGUAAGGGACCGAAAUAUAGUAGGGAAGUAACUGGCGAGAGAGACGAGAAAAGCUCUAGUGUAUACUAAGGUGCCCGUACCGCAAACCGACACAGGUAGAUGGGAUGAGUAUUCUAAGGCCAACGGGAGAAGGGUUGUUAAGGAACUCGGCAAAUUGGCCCCGUAACUUCGGGAUAAGGGGCGCCUGCGAGAGCAGGCCGCAGUGAAAAGGCCCAAGCGACUGUUUAGCAAAAACACAGCUCUCUGCUAAAUCGAAAGAUGACGUAUAGGGGGUGACGCCUGCCCGGUGCUGGAAGGUUAAGGGGAGUGCUUAGCGCAAGCGAAGGUGCGAACUUAAGCCCCAGUAAACGGCGGCCGUAACUAUAACGGUCCUAAGGUAGCGAAAUUCCUUGUCAGGUAAGUUCUGACCCGC
rnacentral:rRNA from 1 species